rnacentral:rRNA from 1 species
UACGUGGGGGGCAAGCGUUGUUCGGAAUUACUGGGCGUAAAGGGCUCGUAGGCGGCCAACUAAGUCGGAUGUGAAAUCCCCAGGCUUAACCUGGGAACUGCAUCCGAUACUGGAUGGCUUGAAUCCGGGAGAGGGAUGCGGAAUUCCAGGUGUAGCGGUGAAAUGCGUAGAUAUCUGGAGGAACACCGGUGGCGAAGGCGGCAUCCUGGACCGGCAUUGACGCUGAGGAGCGAAAGCCAGGGGAGCAAACGGG